CUCCCUCCACACGGCAGCUGGCUUCUCAGGGCGGCAGACACCCUCGCGCCUCGCCAGGAUCUGCACUUUGAACUGAGCUGUUGUACCGGAGAUGUUUCUUCAAGGCAAAGCCACAAGUGCUUGACUUCAGCACAAAAAUAGCGUUUGCAGUAUUGGCCGAGUUCUCCUGCAGAUGUAAUUAUGGUUUCUGCACUCAGGGUAGGCAGCAGCAGGAGGCUGGAACGGAAGUGGAGCUGGGGCCUGACAUGCGACGUGGGCCUGACAUGGACGUGGGCCUGACGUGUUCUCUGCUGUGGCCUGGGAAAGCAGCGGACAAUGGCCCAAGUCCUUGGGCCCCUGCACCCGCGUGGGAGACCUGGAAGAAGCUCCUGGCUCCUGGCUUUGGAUCAGCACAGCUCCAGCCAUCGCCGCCAUCUGAGGAGUGAACCAGCGGAUGGAAGACCUCUCUCUCUCUCUCUCUCUCUCUCUGCCUCUCCUCUCUCUGUGUAACUCUUUCAAAUAAAUAA